rnacentral:rRNA from 1 species
AUUGAACGCUGGCGGCAGGCCUAACACAUGCAAGUCGAGCGGAUGACGGGAGCUUGCUCCUUGAUUCAGCGGCGGACGGGUGAGUAAUACCUAGGAAUCUGCCUGAUAGUGGGGGACAACGUUUCGAAAGGAACGCUAAUACCGCAUACGUCCUACGGGAGAAAGCAGGGGACCUUCGGGCCUUGCGCUAUCAGAUGAGCCUAGGUCGGAUUAGCUAGUUGGUGAGGUAAUGGCUCACCAAGGCGACGAUCCGUAACUGGUCUGAGAGGAUGAUCAGUCACACUGGAACUGAGACACGGUCCAGACUCCUACGGGAGGCAGCAGUGGGGAAUAUUGGACAAUGGGCGAAAGCUUGAUCCAGCCAUGCCGCGUGUGUGAAGAAGGUCUUCGGAUUGUAAAGCACUUUAAGUUGGGAGGAAGGGCAGUAAGCUAAUACCUUGCUGUUUUGACGUUACCGACAGAAUAAGCACCGGCUAACUCUGUGCCAGCAGCCGCAGUAACAC